rnacentral:rRNA from 1 species
UACGAAGGGGGGCUAGCGUUGUUCGGAAUUACUGGGCGUAAAAGCGCACGUAGGCGGACUAUUAAGUCAGGGGGUGAAAUCCCGGAGCUCAACUCCGGAACUGCCUUUUGAUACUGGUAGCCUAGAGAUCGGAAGAGGUGAGUGGAAUUCCCAGUGUAGAGGUGAAAAUUCGUAGAUAUUGGGAAGAACACCAGUGGCGAAGGCGGCUCACUGGUCCGAUACUGACGCUGAGGUGCGAAAGCGUGGGGGAGCAAACAGG